GGGAAGGAGGACCCACUGAGAUGGAGGGGCUAGCCCUUACCCCCCCGACUAGUAGUAUUAAUCUGUUAGGGAGGGGAAAGGCAUUGCUCCUUCAUCUCACAGCACAUCACCCAUCAG
rnacentral:precursor_RNA from 15 species